rnacentral:rRNA from 1 species
AGGACGAACGCUGGCGGCGUGCUUAACACAUGCAAGUCGAGCGGAAAGGCCCUUCGGGGUACUCGAGCGGCGAACGGGUGAGUAACACGUGAGCAACCUGCCCUUGGCUCUGGGAUAGCCUCCGGAAACGGGGAUUAAUACCGGACAUUCACUUUCUCCUGCAUGGGGGUUGGUGGAAAGUUUUUCGGCCAGGGAGGGCUCGCGGCCUAUCAGCUUGUUGGCGGGGUAACGGCCCACCAAGGCGACGACGGGUAGCCGGCCUGAGAGGGCGAUCGGCCACACUGGGACUGAGACACGGCCCAGACUCCUACGGGAGGCAGCAGUGGGAUAUUGCACAAUGGGCGCAAGCCUGAUGCAGCGACGCCGCGUGGGGAUGAAGGCCUUCGGGUUGUAAACCCCUUUCACCAGGAGCGAAUUCAGACGGUACCGUGGGAAGAAGCGCCGGCUAACGUACGCGCCAGCAGCCGC